GAUGAACGCUGGCGGCGUGCCUAAUACAUGCAAGUCGAGCGAACGGACGAGAAGCUUGCUUCUCUGAUGUUAGCGGCGGACGGGUGAGUAACACGUGGAUAACCUACCUAUAAGACUGGGAUAACUUCGGGAAACCGGAGCUAAUACCGGAUAAUAUUUUGAACCGCAUGGUUCAAAAGUGAAAGACGGUCUUGCUGUCACUUAUAGAUGGAUCCGCGCUGCAUUAGCUAGUUGGUAAGGUAACGGCUUACCAAGGCAACGAUGCAUAGCCGACCUGAGAGGGUGUUCGGCCACACUGGAACUGAGACACGGUCCAGACUCCUACGGGAGGCAGCAGUAGGGAAUCUUCCGCAAUGGGCGAAAGCCUGACGGAGCAACGCCGCGUGAGUGAUGAAGGUCUUCGGAUCGUAAAGCUCUGUUAUUAGGGAAGAACAUAUGUGUAAGUAACUGUGCACAUCUUGACGGUACCUAAUCAGAAAGCCACGGCUAACUACGUG
rnacentral:rRNA from 1 species